GCUUGUUUCAGCUCUUUAGUUUCUUGGAUACCUUCAUGAUAUCCCUUCUAACGCAUGCUCUGUUAAGGCCAAGCAAUCCUGGCAUGGGCGCUAUCAGCCACGGCCCUGUGAGGGACCUGCAGAGUUUUAAAAACAGCACCAUGACACUGGCUGCAACUGGCCUUUCUCCCACACCCACACGUGCACAGAGCUCUGCUAGCUCGUCUUCAUCCUGGAUGGGAAAGAAAAACAAAAAGGAAGGAGGAGGGCGUGAGAGCAAACCAUGCCUGUGUUCUUGAGGUAGCUGUCUCGAUUUUUUGCUGGGUGAGGAAUCGAUGGAGCAAUGAAUAGGUAAAUACACAGACAGGUGAAUGGAUGGACGCAUACAUCUAUUACUCAACAGUGAGAAAUCCCACAAAAUGAACACCAAUUGUAGGAAAACGCUGUUCUUCCAUCCAGCCUUCUAAUUAGCAUUCAUCCGGGCCUCUAUCACAGAAACUGCAGGUACAGUGAGUGAGCUCUGCUCUGAGCUAGGGCCCUAUCCUCAGAUAUGGAUGCCUCUGGAAUCCUUCCUGCAUGGAGGACUGGGAAUUCUCUUGGACCUGAAGAGCCAAUAAAUACCCCUCCUCUGGAUGGACAUUUGUCUUCACCAAGAACACAGCUCAUCUGGGCUUUCUUGAGGGCUAGGAUGGUGUUUACAAUGAUGAUGACAAUUUCUGUUUUAUGCAAAGAAUCGUUAUUUUAGCCUAAGCUG